CGAGCGGUAACAGGAAGUAGCUUGCUACUUCGCUGACGAGCGGCGGACGUGGUGAGUAAUGCCUGGGAAUAUGCCUUGAUGUGGGGGAUAACUAUUGGAAACGAUAGCUAAUACCGCAUAAUGCCUACGGGCCAAAGAGGGGGAUCUUCGGACCUCUCGCGUCAAGAUUAGCCCAGGUGGGAUUAGCUAGUUGGUGGGGUAAAGGCUCACCAAGGCGACGAUCCCUAGCUGGUCUGAGAGGAUGAUCAGCCACACUGGAACUGAGACACGGUCCAGACUCCUACGGGAGGCAGCAGUGGGGAAUAUUGCACAAUGGGGGAAACCCUGAUGCAGCCAUGCCGCGUGUAUGAAGAAGGCCUUCGGGUUGUAAAGUACUUUCAGCAGUGAGGAAGGUGGUAGUGUUAAUAGCACUAUCAUUUGACGUUAGCUGCAGAAGAAGCACCGGCUAACUCCGUGCCAGCAGCCGCGGUAAUACGGAGGGUGCGAGCGUUAAUCGGAAUUACUGGGCGUAAAGCGCAUGCAGGCGGUCUGUUAAGCAAGAUGUGAAAGCCCGGGGCUCAACCUCGGAACAGCAUUUUGAACUGGCAGACUAGAGUCUUGUAGAGGGGGGUAGAAUUUCAGGUGUAGCGGUGAAAUGCG
rnacentral:rRNA from 1 species